UGAAUUCGCAAUUUUUUUUAUUUCCAUUGGAGAUUAGGAAUAGAUGGGCUUUCUAUAGGACCCAUUUUAUUGACGAGAUUUAUCACUACUUUAGCGACUCGGCCAGUUACUCGGGAUUCUCGACUAUUUCAUUUCUUGAUGUUAGCAAUGUACAAUGGUCAAAUAGGAUUAUUUUAUUGUCGGGACCUUUUACUUUUUUCCUCAUGUGGGAGUUAGAAUUAAUUCCCGUUUAUCUACUUCUAUCAAUGUGGGGAGGAAAAAAACAUCUGUACUCAGCUACCAAAUUUAUUUUGUACACGGCGGGGGGUUCUGUUUUUCUUUUAAUGGUAUCGUGUGGCCUUGGAAAUAAUAUCUUAUAUUGGAUUUUUUAUUACUUUUGCUGUCAAAUUGCCUAUUAUACCCCUACAUACAUGGUUACCAGAUACCCAUGGAGAAGCGCA
rnacentral:lncRNA from 1 species